rnacentral:rRNA from 1 species
UUUUAGAAAUUAAUUUAAAGUCUAGCCUGCCCACUGAAUAAUUUUUAAAUGGCCGCAGUAUCCUAACUGUGCAAAGGUAGCAUAAUCAUUAGUCUUUUAAUUGAAGGCUGGAAUGAAUGGUUGGAUGAAAUAUUAACUGUUUCAUAAAAAUUUAUAAUAGAAUUUUAUUUUUUAGUCAAAAAGCUAAAAUAAAAUUAAAAGACGAGAAGACCCUAUAAAUCUUUAUAUUUAAAUAAUUUUAAUUAUUUAGAUAAAUUAAAUUAUAAUUAUUUUAAAUAUUUUAUUGGGGUGAUAUUAAAAUUUAAUAAACUUUUAAUUUAUAAUAUACAUAAAUUAAUGAAUUAUUGAUCCAUUUAUUAUGAUUAAAAAAUUAAGUUACUUUAGGGAUAACAGCGUAAUUUUUUUAGAGAGUUCAUAUUGAUAAAAA